ACGGAAGGCAGCAGUGGGGAGUAUUGGGCAAUGGGCGAAAGCCUGACCCAGCAACGCCGCGUGAAGGAAGAAGGUCUUCGGAUUGUAAACUUCUUUUAUGUAGGACGAAGAAAGUGACGGUACUACAUGAAUAAGCCACGGCUAACUACGCGCCAGCAGCCGCGGUAAUACGUAGGUGGCAAGCGUUAUCCGGAUUUACUGGGUGUAAAGGGCGCGUAGGCGGGGAUGCAAGUCAGAUGUGAAAUCCAUGGGCUCAACCCAUGAACUGCAUUUGAAACUGUAUCUCUUGAGUGCUGGAGAGGUAGAUGGAAUUCCUAGUGUAGCGGUGAAAUGCGUAGAUAUUAGGAGGAACACCAGUGGCGAAGGCGGAUUGCUGGACGACAACUGACGGUGAGGCGCGAAAGCGUGGGGAGCAAACAGGAUUAGAUACCCUGGUA
rnacentral:rRNA from 1 species